rnacentral:lncRNA from 1 species
CUCUGAGUCCCCACACAUCAUACGGCUCUUCCCCUGCACGGCUCCCUGAGGCUCUGGGGCCUGGGACUCAUCCUCCCAGAGCACACCUGCCCCCCUCAACAGGGUCCCUGCAGAGUGUCCCCUGGUCUCCCCGUUUACCUCUAAAUGUAUCCCAUCAGCCCCCUGAGCCCAGGAGAUGGGAAGGAGCUGCUGGUGAGCGUCGCGCGUCUCCUGGAGGUGCCGAUGAGCGUCUUCGCAGACAUCACGUGGACGAUCUCUUCAAGACACAGGAUCCUCAAGAAGACGCGUCUGUCAGCAUGUUGACACCAUAAAGGCAGAACACCCAAGUAUGCAAAACGACUCCAGCAAUAAAAGCAGGAAAAGAGGAUUUCUGAAGUCUCCAUGUAAAGAAAACACCAUGUAGGCAGAGCUCUCACCCCCAGCACUUGGGUUAGUGGGGUUUUGUUCAUUCCAUCAUCUUCAAAUGAUCAGGUGGGAAACACCAGAAAACCAGCAAAAUAUGUCAAUAUUAAGA